rnacentral:lncRNA from 10 species
AUUCUCCUGCCUCAGCCUCCCGAGUAGCUGGGACUACAGGCGCCUAAUUUUCCAUAAAAUGUAUACCACCAAAAAGAAAAAUUCUGACUGCAGGGAAGCAGUACACUCUGUAGACCCCGGAGAAAAAUAAAUCACCAUGAGAUUUGACAACAAUCAAUUUUUCACUGCACGCUAAUCAAGCAGAUAGAAAGAAGGCCAUGGUAUUGGAGCAAUGGAUGCCCCUGAAAGAAGAAUAUGUAGAAGAGAGGACUCAUGUCAGGAAAAAGAUGAAGACGCCUUUGCCAAAAUUAUAUCAGUGAGAAAAAUUAUGAGAGUAAAGUAAGCUAACCUACCCUCAUCUUGCCUUUCCCUUAAU